GCAGUCAUGGCCGAGUGGUUAAGGCGAUGGGCUAGAAAUCCAUUGGGGUCUCCCCACACAGGUUCGAAUCCUGUCGACUGCG
rnacentral:tRNA from 1 species